rnacentral:rRNA from 1 species
CCUACGGGUGGCAGCAGUGGGGAAUCUUGGACAAUGGGCGAAAGCCUGAUCCAGCCAUGCCGCGUGUGUGAAGAAGGCCUUCGGGUUGUAAAGCACUUUCAGUGGGGAAGAAAGCCUUGGGGCUAAUACCCUCGAGGAAGGACAUCACCCACAGAAGAAGCACCGGCUAACUCCGUGCCAGCAGCCGCGGUAAUACGGAGGGUGCGAGCGUUAAUCGGAAUUACUGGGCGUAAAGCGCGCGUAGGCGGUCUGAUAAGCCGGGUGUGAAAGCCCCGGGCUCAACCUGGGAACGGCAUCCGGAACUGGCAGGCUAGAGUGCAGGAGAGGAAGGUAGAAUUCCCGGUGUAGCGGUGAAAUGCGUAGAGAUCGGGAGGAAUACCAGUGGCGAAGGCGGCCUUCUGGACUGACACUGACGCUGAGGUGCGAAAGCGUGGGUAGCAAACAGGAUUAGAUACCCUAGUAGUC